AGGAGUAAACUAGGCAGCAGACCCUGAGGGGCAGUUUAGACGUCAUUUAAAGACAGUGUCUCCCUCCGGGUGGAUACCUCCUGACCCGGUCCACAGCCACAUUGGUUCUGGAAGUGGAAUGCCCAGAAUCAAGCAAGGUUUAGGCCUUAAUUUGGCUGUUGCCGUAUCAGAAUCAGGGCCUCAGAAAAAAUAAACUGUGGGGCUUACGGUAAGUGUCACUCUUUGGUGAAGCCACCGCAAAGCUUCCCAAGCGCCGCCCUCGAACCCAGGCUGGCUUCCCACUAAGAACAUGGCUGUCCCACCGCCCUCAGAUUGGCCUGAGAACUGCUUUUAUUAAUAAAUCUCUGGAAACUGAGAUAAAAUUCGCGCAAGAGAAUAACAACAUACUUCGAAAUUUAUAUUGAAAUGAAAUCACCAAAAACGCUGGAAGAAGACUCUUGUUGAGAUUUGCUGCAAUGAAUAUGAGCUCCUGCCUGAUCAAACAACCUCUCAAACCUUAGGUUUCUAGAAAGGCUGCUCUGUCAAACUUCCCAAACCGGUAACUGUCAACGCUUGGAAGCCAGUUCUUUCUUUGUUAAGUUUCCCCAAAUUGUUCUUUUCAAACAGGGCAAAACCUGCACUGGGCAAAACCUCAGCUUGUGGCUGAGAAGGAUAUCCGCCACAGGGCUCCUGGCAAGGGUACAUUUCCCGGCGAGUGAAGAGAACCAAGGCUUGAUCAAAAAUUCGUGGUGUGUUUACAAGAAGAAAAAUAAGGGAUGAGGUGAAGCAAAUUCCACAAACAUCCCAGCAAUCAUGAGCAACUCCUUUUGAAUGGUGUCUACUGUGAUCUCUUAUAGCGUGAUGUGCACAUACAUACAGAAGAAUAAAUGCAUUGCACUUCACCCACUGUGUUCUCACACACAAAGGUAUACAUUGUGGGAAAGGAGACACCAAAUACAAACAACUUGGCUAUCCACUGAAUAUAUUAUUGUGACUCUUGGCCCCAGUAACACUCCAAUUUUUUUCCCUUAAAGAAAGGUGUAAAAAUGGGGGAGAGAAGCUGUGAAGAAGAGUAUGUAAUACAUUGUAGCUUAGGCCAAAAUAAUAACUAACAUAAUAAUAAUUUCCUUUUCUACAAGAGUUCUAGCACCACCUCCAUCUAGCACCACCUCCAUCUAUAUUAGAGGCAAAAAUCCAACAAGAUAAUCAACAGGAUAUUAAGUUGAAGGUUACUUUUGAUUCUGCUUUCUCAGCUAUUACUGAGUUGGGUGACCCCCUGAUACAUGAAAGACCACAUGUGUGCUCUGGGAAGCCCCCUCUAUAAAACCCACAUAGAACAAAAGCCUUUUGACAUGACUUUAGAAAGGUAUAAUGUAAGAGGAGAGGAAGUUGUGAAAAUCCUAGCCAAAGCUGUAACUGUUAAAUAACAUUAGGAAGGAGGCUAUGAGAAGAUCUCAUAAGAUAAAGCUCUUCCAUGGCUUUGUAUCUUUUCUCUUUAUAAUUAAACUCUGUAGUUCGAGCGGAUUAAAAAAAAAAACCUCAAUAUAAAAUAUGUGCCCACCAGUAGUUUAUUGACAGAGAUGAAAAUACUUUUGUACUUGUCAGAAAAGGGGAGAAGAAGCUAGAAGAACCCAGCCCACCCCCACCCUCCCAUACUGGGUGACAGAAAUUGUGAUUUUGGAAAAAGAAAACUAAUUUUCCUUGCUUCAUCUCCUCUUUUUUGAUAGGAAUGUUUUCCAUGUUGAAAAGAAAAACCCAGCCAAAACAACAAUAAAAAGAAUCAACACAAAAAUCCAAAAUCCAGGAGGCUCUAGUUUAUGGGAACAGGAAUGCAUUUAAUUAUUUCAAAGAUUGUUACCUUUGGGCUUGUGGGCAAACCUAGGGAUUGAAUACUGUCUACAAACAAGCAGCUUUCCAAUAAAGUGCAGUAUUAUUGCAGUAGACUUUGUAAUACAAUUUAUGCUGUCAUUCAUAAAUAAUAAUGCCAUAUGUCAACCAUAUUGCUUACACAAGUAAAAGCAUCAAUGUGUCACUA
rnacentral:lncRNA from 1 species